UACGUAGGGGGCAAGCGUUGUCCGGAUUUAUUGGGCGUAAAGAGCGUGUAGGCGGCCAGAUAGGUCCGUUGUGAAAACUGGAGGCUUAACCUCCAGCGGUCGAUGGAAACCAUUUGGCUAGAGUCCGGAAGAGGAGAGUGGAAUUCCUGGUGUAGCGGUGAAAUGCGUAGAUAUCGUAAGGAAGACCAGUGGCGAAGGCGGGUCUCUGGACAGUUCCUGACGCUGAGGCACGAAGGUCAGGGGAGCAAACGGG
rnacentral:rRNA from 1 species